CUGUGUGCACACGUGUGUGGGGCGGGGGGAGGAGUGGAAGGAAUUAGCUCAGGCCUAACACGUGACGAGCCACACCAGCAGCUCUCGAGGGCACAGAGGGCCGUGUCAGCACAAGUUACGCAGCAGGAAAGCCGGCCAUCGGACGUGACAGGAGGCGUGCAGCACCGUCCGGGGGACACAGCACCGCGCCGCCUUGGUCCUCCGUCACUGGGACGGCGUGGGGAGCGAGCCCCGGGAAUCACUGGCUGCCUGUGUUGCCUCUGGAAGUAGCAAUUACUCGUCCGUGGAGCCAACACCACAGUGGGACACCCAGAUGACGGGGCAGUGACAGCUGCCUCACUCAGCCGAGCAGGAGACAGACGGAGCACAAGCAGUGGUGUCUUCAAGGCCCAGCCGGAGAGCAGCGCUGGCCGUUCCCCUGGACGCGCUCAUCCCCCGACAGCGAGCGCGGGGCCCCCAGGGCUCACACACAGCUGCCCUCCCCGCAAGCGACCCACAGACCCCGGAGAUGACCGACAGCCUAUAGCUGGGGAGGGCAGCUUCGCACAGCUCCAGAGGAAAACGUCCAGUCUGUGCCUCCUACCCGGGGAGGAAAAGCCAACACAGAAAACCUGGCUUGCAAAGGAGCAGGGCCUCAGUGCCCCAGCAAACCCGCCCUUGUGCCCAGCACGCUCACGGACAGCCAGACGGCCUCGCGGGGCCGAUGUGGGAUGGGAGGCCUGGGCUGGCACUGCUGCUGUCCCCCUGCUUUUCACCCCAGGCUGGUGCCCUGGCCUCUCCGGCAGGAGCCCUCACCCCUCUCUGUGACUGACCCUUGGCCUACCGAGGUGACGACGGCCACUACCACGGACGACUUCCGAGGCCUGUGGCGCGGACAGCCUGGGACAGACACCUCCUCAGGGAAGAUCCCAAGGUUAGCCAGGGAUGACCUUGCCAGAAAGCCGCCCGGCCGAGGGCUUGCAAUAGGCCUGACGGCGUCAGGCCAGUUCUGCAACCUAGUCCAGUUCCACUGCCUCUUCCAGAAGCCCGGCUCUCUCUCAAAGCCGGGGACAACGCUCACUGUGCCCUCAGAGCAAGGCUCACCCCGUCUCCACAAUGGGGCACACCGUGGCACGGGAGAGCCUUCACCUCCCCGCUCACGGAUGGACAGGGUGCUGCCAACCACAAGGACAAAAGGCAGUCCACCAAAGGGCUAUGAGCCACACGGACACGCGUCGGCUGGUAACUGAGAGCCCCAAGCAAAGCCGGCAGCCGGUCCCCACGAGCACCUGGCCCGUCUCCGCCCUGACGUGCACUAGACACGGCACACGGGGCUGGGGGUGGCCGAGACGCAGCGAAGAUGGGCAGCCUCACCGGAAGACAGCAGGCCAGCCACUCACCUGCCUUCUGCUCCAAGGGCCCAGCACCCCGAGACCCUGAUGCCAGCGCGAGUCCAGCAGGCUUCCUUCCAGUCGCCCAGCGGCAGCCCCCAGACCCGUGCCCACCCGGACCUCACCAAGGGACAGCCCGAGGGGGGUACCCUGUCACCACUGCGAGGUGCUCACUUGUCCACCAGCACGUCCAGUGCAAAGGUAGGCCGAGGUCCCCGUCCUCACCGGACUGACCUUCUGGAGGGACAGACACACAAGAAGCCACGGCAAGGUAGACCGACCAGACCACAUCGUGCAGCCAUGGUGAUGCGGAAGGCGAAGCCGGAGCCGUGGUCGGGCGGGGAGAGCCUCGGUUUGGAGGCAUCUGCACAGACACCCGGACACUGACCAGGGCCAGCUCUGGCCCCCUCGGGCCGCGCAGGGACUGCUGGGGAGGCAGGGAGAGGGAGGGGACAUGCUUGAGGAACAUCGCAGAGAAGGCAGGGUGUAACGGGAGCGAUUCCCCCGUGACGUCCAGAGGCAGUUCCAGGGCCACCCCAUGGGCCCUGGCUCCCCUCCUGUCCCCUGAGGACCACGCUCCGAGGAGAGGAAGACCACUGCCGCCCCAGCCCCGUGAGGGGCACCCAUGCCCACUACGCGGUCUGUGCACGGGGCAGAGCCAGACGGCUGCUGCCACCGUUCUGUGUCUGCAGGGAGUGUUCUUCUCAAGAGCUUAUCAGGUCUCAGGCUACAUCAGAUUCUCUAGAACUAACAAGUGUCACAGACUCAGGUCCUCCCUCUUCCCCCCUAUCACCCUGAGCCAGGCUCGGAGUCACUGCUCCCCAGGAGGGGGUGAGCCUAGAGGAACACAAGAUGCUCCUCCAGGCUCAGGGAGCCUCUUGCUGCCGGCAUCUCACCCCUGCGAUCCCUCUCCCCGCCCGCCCAGCGGCUCUGCUGGCAGCACCCAGACAGUCCCAAGCAGUCCAGGCCGCGGCACUUCCCAGGAACAGGCACCUGGCUGGAAAAGUUUCCUUUGGCCCCAGCGUGGGGCCAACGCUGGCCCUGGCUCAGGGACUGUUCAGAUCCAGAAGUGAGGAGCCAGCCCUCGCCCGAGGGCCGCUUGGCCGUCACCCCCUGGGGCCUAGCCCGAGGCCGACAGCGGAAGCCGCCCCCCCCCCAACCAGGUGACAGCGGCCGCCACCACUUCCCCUCCUGCAAAGCCCCCAGAGCCGCCAGGGUCCCCUCCCCCGGCGCCUGGCCGGCAGUCGGCAGGCACUGAGCACCGCGCCGCCCAGCAUCACGACCUCUGGCCCUCGAGUGGGGCAGGCCGAGUCCGUGCGGCUCCCGGAACGCACUGACCACCUGGGAGCAUCCGGCGGGCGCACAGUCCAGCCCGGGUGCUCGCUGGCCCGGCACCCCGUCUGCUCGAGACAGACCGAGGACCCACGCGGGCCCUGCCUACGGGCCCCUUCCCGCGGCCGUCCGCGAGGGCCUGCCACCGCCAGGCCCCGGGGACCCUCCGCUGGUCCAGGCUUGGCUCCCGGAGCCGCCCCCACCACGAGACGCGAGGGGCGCGCCGCGCCUACCGGUCCUCGCUCUUCCCCACCAGCCGGUCUGGCUCGUCUCCAGCCGCUGGGGGCGGCGGCACCGGGCGGGGGGCUUCAGCUGAGGCCGGGAGCGCAGCCAUGAGCUCGGGGGCCUCUCCGCGGGCUGGGCGGGGCUCGGGGGCCGGCCGCGCAGGCUGUCGGAAGCUGUGGUUCGGGGCCCGGCACCAGGCGCCCGCCAGCGCGCCCCCCGGACUACAAUUCCCAUCAGGCUGCGCGCGCCCCGCGGACUACAAGUCCCACCAGGACGCGCGCGCCCCGCAAACCAGAAGCCCCACGAGGCCGCGCGGCGCGGCGCGAGUACGGGGAAGGCCCCCACCCGCGCUUUACCACAAACUCAGCUGCACGAAACCCCUGGAAAAAAAUCAAUAAACAUUUAUUUGAUACAGUCA